AGGAAAUUUUAACUUGUGGUGACGCCACGCAGACGAUCGUGUGGUUCUCUUUUAUAUAAAUAUAUGAUAUAUAAUGAUGAUUGAUCACCUAGUAUAAUAUAUGGAUAUUUAUUUGCCAUGUGCAUACUUUGGGCACUAAGUAUAUUGUAUAACUAGCUUACAACAUAUAUUAUGUUGCGUGAAUCCAUUUUACACACAAUGUAUAUUGUGUGACUGUAAUACUCAGAAAGUCUCCUAAUCUAGAUCCUAACAUGAAAGUCUAAGAGUUGUAACCCUGUUUUAAAAUCAAUUAUAAUGUAUAUAAGUCAUUUAGGAAGUUUAGAAUCAAAACGUAAAGGAACGUCCAUGACGUCCGAAAACUAGUGCAAAAGGUGCUAGCAUGCCUGAGCCUAUUUGGCAAAGUUUUAGGAGUUGGGAAAUGAUGAAAUUGGGUGGUAAGGUUUCUAACACAUAUUAGAGUUGGUUUAUAGUUGAAACGUUCGGGUAUUGACUCCCCAAGGACCAACCAAGGGCCCUUGAGGAGGACCCUUGCAUUUUGGCAAAAGUUGUCGAGAGGCAAUGUCUACCUAUGUGUGCAUGCGACGAGGCAUGGGUGGAUCCACGACCGUCGAUGCCUCCAUAGACCAAAACUUAUCCAUUUUGUAUAAUGGUCCAUUUGGGUCAGUCUCUGACACCAACGACGGGUGUGCAGGACGGAAGGGGGCAAGGGCGUCGACUGGCCUACGGCCCAUCAGUCGGGAUCUCGUAGGUCAAGUCUGUGUGUUGCUGUUUUGUUUUACUUAAUUCAUUUAAUUAGUUAGUUAAUUAAUGGUUAGGGGAGGUUCAAUUAAAUUAAUUAAGUACCUUUAUAUAAAGACUUAGCCUAAUUAAACUAAACUCAACUCUCAUAAUUCCCAAAACCCAAUUGUUCUUCCUUCUCUCUUCUUUCUCUCUCCCAAAGAAGCUCCACAGAAGACCUAGCAAAGGUGGGUUCUAGGGCUGCAAGGAGGGGGUUUUUCUCCAUCAAACUUCAUCAAUUAGUAUGACCCAUUGUUGGUUUGAAUUGGAGGGUUGAUGGUAAAACCUUGAUGAUGGCUUGUGAAGGAGAUUGGGGUUCUGGGCGUUGAAGGGUUCGUGACGACUUUUGAAGAAGACUUGGAUCCUCAUUCUCCAAGUUGGGUAGGUCCUCACUUCUUUGAGUACAAUGUCACUUUCUAGCAUUCGAUGUUGAUUAGUCUUAAAGACACUUUGUUCAUUCUCUUUCAUUUGAGUACUAUAAUUGUAUAGCCUAUAUGUGGCUUUAUUGGUGUUGAUGUAUGAGUUAUUCCCAAAUUGUUAUACUCUUGUUUAGAUGGUUUAAUAUGAGACAUCCGUUCCA